rnacentral:lncRNA from 1 species
AUGGAGCAUAUUCUGCAAAAAGUACAGGAACUACAGUCUCAGUCUGAUGGCCUUCAGCUAGAACUUAAGAGAAAAGAAAGUGGUUUGCAGAUGCUGAAGUUAGAGAGAGAACGACUUAGCAACCAGAUCACUGUGGCUGAUGAAACUUAUUCAAAAGAGAAACAAACUUUGGUAGAAAAAAUAGUUGAACUGAAGAGAAGAAAGGAACAAAAGGACAGAGAAGUCUCUGUAAAAGAAAUGGAGAUAUUACAAGCUAAGCAAGAACUGGAACAGCAACAAAUGUGCUUGAGUAAUAGACAACAGGCUAUUAUUGAGUUGAAAGGAAAGGUGAAGCAACAGGUGGAACUGCAGAAGGAAGUGAAGUUUCAGCUUUCUGAAAAGAGAAGGGAGUUCUUGAAAGUGCAGUCUGCUGUGCAUGAAAUAGAAAAUAAAAUCUUCAGGAAAACAGCAGCAAUGCAAGAACACAUUACUCAUGAACUACGGAAUGAGAUAUCUAUUCUUCAUCAACAAGUACGUGAGAGAGAGCUAUUAGCAGAACAGGAUCGGCUGUUAAGAAGCAAAAUGGUGGAUGAUUAUGCAACUUUGACCAAGGAGAAUGCCAUGAUGCAAUCCAGGCUCUUGGAACUUAACAAGCAAAGAGAGAUAGAGAGAGUACUCAAGGAGGAGAGCUAUACAGCCCUUUCUGCUGGUAUCAUGCAGUUCCUUGCAGUAAAAGAUCAUGAAAAUCAUCUGAAGGAAGAGAUUCAGAGGUACCAAGAACUCCUGGAGCAGGAAGAGAGUACCUUCCGAGACCUUCAAGAUAAGAUUAGCAUUUUGGAAAAGGGAAGUACCUCUCAUGACUUAAAAAUUGCAACCAUGAACAGCAGAAUAACUGAAAUUAGAGCUGUAUUAGACAAAGAGGAACUGGACAAUAUGGAGUUAAAAAGAGAUAAAUCUCUGCUGAUUGAUCUUGCAUCUGAUCUACAGAAGCAGUGUGUUAACAACACUGACUGAGCCAUAUUUCUACUCUGGAGAAAAUGUGGAAAGCUAUUUUUUCGCCUGCUAUGAAAUGGCAGAAGAUUUGCUAUACGGUGGAACCAUUCGAAACAAAAAGACAUACCUCCUUUUCUUUCUUCUUGGCAGUUAAUAAAUCAGCAGAAAGUACACUGUGCA